rnacentral:lncRNA from 1 species
UUCAAAUUGAAGCAUUCGGAGAGAAGAAUCAACCUGCACUGCCAUCCACACAGAUAUCAUGGACGACUGGCUGGACUGUGCCUUCACCUGUGGUGUGCACUGCCGUGGUCACGGGAAGUACUCGUGUCUUCGGGUGUUUGUGAACCUCACCCAUUCAGCUCAGAAAGCUCUCCUACAUUAUAAUGAAGAGGCUGUCCAGAUAAAUCCCAGUGCUUUUACACACCUAAGUGCCACCAAGAUAGAAAUGAUUUGCUCAACAGUGCUCUGGACAUAAAAGAAUUCUUCGAUCACAAAAAUGGAACCCCCUUUUCAUGCUUCUACAGUCCAGCCAGCCAAUCUGAAGAUGUCAUUCUUAUAAAAAAGUAUGACCAAAUGGCUAUCUUCCACUGUUUAUUUUGGCCUUCACUGACUCUGCUAGGUGGUGCCCUGAUUGUUGGCAUGGUGAGAUUAACACAACACCUGUCCUUACUGUGUGAAAAAUAUAGCACUGUAGUCAGAGAUGAGGUAGGUGGAAAAGUACCUUAUAUAGAACAGCAUCAGUUCAAACUGUGCAGUAGGAGGAGGAGCAAAGG